CUCCUAAAUGUUCUGGGCCGCACGCGCACUACACUGACGCGAUCAACGAGUAGCAACUCAUCUCGAGUCCUGUUUGGAAGCGAAUGGGCAAUCUUGUGAACCCGCGUCGUGCUCUCGGGGAUAGAUGAUUGCAAUUAUUUGCCUUGAACGAGGAAUGCCUAGUAAUGGUGGUUCAUCAGACCACCCUGAUUAUGUCCCUGCCAUUUGUACACACCGCCCGUCGUUGCUACCGAUUGGCUGUAAAAUAGAGGCCUUGGGAGGUAACGCGGUCACUUGUGACUGUCGCCGCCGAACUCGUCCAAUAUUUUACUGCUAGAGGAAGCAAAAGUCGUAACA
rnacentral:rRNA from 1 species